GGAGAGGUGCAGGAGUGGUUGAACUGGACUGCCUGCUAAGCAGUUAUGGCGUUAGCCAUCGUGGGUUCGAAUCCCACCCUCUCCG
rnacentral:tRNA from 1 species